AACGAGAAGAGAAACGAAACAAGGGGCCCGGGAUAGCCGCGGGAAACAGCAGGUAAUACCGAAUAAUGUCUCCGGACCAAAAAUUUAUUGCCCUUGGAGCGGUCUGCUUACUAUUAACUUGUUGGUGGGGUAAAGGCCUACCAAGGCUAAGAUGGUUAGCGGGUGUGAGAGCAUGGCCCGUCUCACUGGGACUGAGACACUGCCCAGACACCUACGGGUGGCUGCAGUCGAGAAUCUUCCGCAAUGGACGAAAGUCUGACGGAGCGACGCCGCGUGCGGGAUGAAGGCCUUCGGGUCGUAAACCGCUGUCAGAGGGGAGCAAAUUUUGAGCGAUCCCUCAGAAGAAAGCACAGGCUAAGUUUCGUGCCAGCAGCCGCGGUAAUACGAACUGGUGCGAACGUUAAUUCGGGAAUCACUGGGCUUAAAGGGUGCGUAGGCCGGGUUCAAAGGUCUGAUGUGAAAGCCCCACGGCUCAACCGUGGAAUUGCGUUGGAAACCAUGAGCCUUGAAGGAGAUCAAAGGGUGAGCGGAACUGAUGGUUGGGAGCGGUGAAAUGCGUUGAAUAUCAUCAGGAACAACCGGUGGGCGAAAGCGGCUCGCUGGGAUCUUUUCUUGACGCUGAGGCACGAAAGCUAGGGGGAGCGAACGGGAUUAGAUACCCCGGGUAGUCCUAGCUGUAAACG
rnacentral:rRNA from 1 species